rnacentral:tRNA from 1 species
AUUUUUAUGGUGUAAUAACAUGUUGUUUUUUCAAGACAAAGAUAUUUGAUAAUUAAAAAUU